rnacentral:rRNA from 1 species
AGGGUUUGAUCCUGGCUCAGGAUGAACGCUGGCGGCGUGCUUAACACAUGCAAGUCGAACGGGAAUUAUUUUAUUGAAACUUCGGUCGAUUUAAUUUAAUUCUAGUGGCGGACGGGUGAGUAACGCGUGGGUAACCUGCCUUAUACAGGGGGAUAACAGUCAGAAAUGGCUGCUAAUACCGCAUAAGCGCACAGAGCUGCAUGGCUCAGUGUGAAAAACUCCGGUGGUAUAAGAUGGACCCGCGUUGGAUUAGCUGGUUGGUGGGGUAACGGCCCACCAAGGCGACGAUCCAUAGCCGGCCUGAGAGGGUGAACGGCCACAUUGGGACUGAGACACGGCCCAG